AGUGAACGCUGGCGGUAGGCCUAACACAUGCAAGUCGAACGAGGGGCGGACGGGUGAGGAAUACCUCGGAAUAUAAUAUGUCGAGGGGGAAAACGAAGGGAAAAGGAAGAUAAUACCGCAUACGAUGGAAUGAGCGGAGUUCGGAUUAGCUAGUUGGCGGGGUAAAGGCCCACCAAGGCGACGAACCGUAGCUGGUCUGAGAGGAUGAUCAGCCACACUGGACCUGAGACACAGUCCAGACUCCUACGGGAGGCAGCAUUGGUGAAUAUUGGACAAUGGGCGAAAGCCUGAUCCAGCCAUGCCGCGUGUGUGAAGAAGGUCUUCGGAUUGUAAAGCACUUUCAGCGGGGAGGCGUUACCCGCAGAAGAAGCACCGGCUAACUCCGUGCCAGCAGCCGCGGUAAUAC
rnacentral:rRNA from 1 species